GAUGAAGAACGCAGCGAAAUGCGAUACGUAGUGUGAAUUGCAGAAUUCAGUGAAUCAUCGAAUCUUUGAACGCACAUUGCACCUCUCGGUAUUCCGGGAGGUAUGCCUGUUCGAGUGUCAUUUGUACCCUCAAGCUCUGCUUGGUGUUGGGUGUUUGUUCCGCCUCUGUGUGUGAACUCGCCUCAAAACAAUUGGCAGCCGGCGUACUUGUUUCGGAGCGCAGCACAUUUUGCGAUCCAGAUCAACGUACAGCGGCAUCCAAGAAGCCUUAUUUAACGCUCUUGACCUCGGAUCAGGUAGGGAUACCCGCUGAACUUAAGCAUAUCAAUAAGCGGAGGA
rnacentral:misc_RNA from 1 species